GCCGCCGACUCGUUCCGCCGCUACGGCCGGGACUCGUCGGCGCGGGCCGACUCCUUCACCGGCUACGAGGCUAACGGCAACGUCGUCACCGCCAACUUCACCUCCUACGCCGGCGGCUCCACUGGCGGGUCGGGCUCCUUCACCGCCUACGCCGUGGACACCAACGUCCCGGAAUCCAAGUUCACCAACUACGACGCCGGGGCCAAUGGGCGGACCCGCGGGUUCACAUCCUACUCCCAGGAGGCCAACCACGGGGAGAGCAGCUUCGCCGGCUAUGGCAAGAGCGCCAACAGCCUGCGGGAGACCUUCACCUCCUACGGCGGUGACACCAACACCCUCAGCUCCGGCUUCGCCAACUAUGGCGAGUCCGCCAACGGCGCCACCGACACCUUCACGGGAUACGGUGUCGAGGGGAACGUACCCGAGAACACGUUCCGGAGCUACGGUGCCGGCGGCAAUGCCGGAGUGGACACGUUCAAGGGGUACCGCGAUGACGCCAAUGUCGGGGGCGACAGCUUUGCCUCCUACGCCAAGGGUGCCAACGGCGGGGCCGCCGAGUUCCAGAGCUACGGUGGCUCGGCCAACCAGGGCAGCGUCGCCUUCAAAGGCUACGGCGAAGGCACCAACCGCAACCACCACAUUGGGUUCAAGCAGUACGCCGGAGACAAUACCACGUUCAAGGGGUACGCCAAGACCGGCGUUGACUUCAAGGAGUAUCACAACACGUCAAGCUCAGUGUCAGUGUCGGCGGAGGCAACCACAUCCGAGCAUCAGCAUAUGAAGUGGUCUCCAGAGCCAGGCAAGUUCUUCCGGGAGAGGGAGCUGGUGGCCGGGAACCGAAUGCCCAUGCCAGACAUCAGGGACAAGAUGCCACCCAGGGCAUUCCUGCCGAGAGACAUUGCCAGGAAGAUACCAUUCGAGCUGAAUGCCGUGUCAGAGGUCUUCAGGGUGCCCCUGGACACGGCGAUGGGCAAGGCAGUGGCAUCCACGGUAGCCGAGUGCGAGCGCGCGCCCAGCCAGGGCGAGACCAAGAGGUGCGCGACCUCAGCGGAGGACAUUGUGGACUUUGCUGUGGAGAUGCUAGGCAGUGACAUUGUUGUGCACAGCACGGCCUCCACGGCGGGCAGCGGCGCGGACAUCAGGCUGGGCAAUGUCACCGGAGUCCACGGUCGCAAGGUGACACGGCCCGUAUCAUGCCACCAGAGCCUGUUCCCGUACCUGGUGUACUACUGCCACUCAGUGCCCAAGGCGCGGGUGUACGAGGCCGAUAUCACCGCCGCCGACUCUGGUCAGAAGAUCAAUCACGGGGUGGCCAUCUGUCACCUUGACACUUCUGAUUGGAGCCCAGCUCAUGGAGCGUUCAUCGCCCUUGGUGGUAAACCCGGCAAAAUAGAGGUUUGCCAUUGGAUCUUCGAGGGCGACAUGACAUGGACAGUCGCAGAUUGA
rnacentral:rRNA from 1 species